rnacentral:rRNA from 1 species
GUGGGGAAUCUUAGACAAUGGGCGCAAGCCUGAUCUAGCCAUGCCGCGUGAGCGAUGAAGGCCUUAGGGUUGUAAAGCUCUUUCGUGGGGGAAGAUAAUGACUGUACCCCAAGAAGAAGCCCCGGCUAACUCCGUGCCAGCAGCCGCGGUAAUACGGAGGGGGCUAGCGUUGUUCGGAAUUACUGGGCGUAAAGCGCACGUAGGCGGACUGGAAAGUCAGGGGUGAAAUCCCGGGGCUCAACCCCGGAACUGCCUUUGAAACUCCCAGUCUUGAGUUCGAGAGAGGUGAGUGGAAUUCCGAGUGUAGAGGUGAAAUUCGUAGAUAUUCGGAGGAACACCAGUGGCGAAGGCGGCUCACUGGCUCGAUACUGACGCUGAUGUGCGAAAGCGUGGGGAGCAAACAGGAUUAGAAACCCCAGUAGUCC